AGCAGCCGCGGUAAUUCCAGCUCCAAUAGCGUAUAUUAAAGUUGUUGCAGUUAAAAAGCUCGUAGUUGAAUUUUGGAUUCUGCCAAUUGGUCCAUCUUUUAGAUGAGUACUGGUUGUGUGGGGUCUAUCCGCCUGGUGAUACGUAAUGUCCUUUAUUGGAUGUUUCGGGUAGUCAGGACCUUUACCUUGAAAAAAUUAGAGUGUUUAAAGCAGGCUUAUGCCGGAAUACAUUAGCAUGGAAUAAUAGAAUAGGACGAAGUUGUUUUAUUUUGUUGGUUUCUAGGACAACCGUAAUGAUUAAUAGGGAUAGUUGGGGGCAUUAGUAUUCAAUUGUCAGAGGUGAAAUUCUUGGAUUUAUUGAAGACUAACUACUGCGAAAGCAUUUGCCAAGGAUGUUUUCAUUAAUCAAGAACGAAAUUAGGGGAUCGAAGACGAUCAGAUACCGUCGUAGUCUUAACCAUAAACUAUGCCGACUAGGGAUCGGGCGAUGUUGUUUCCAUGACUCGCUCGGGCACCUUAU
rnacentral:rRNA from 1 species